rnacentral:rRNA from 1 species
GACGAACGCUGGCGGCGUGCUUAACACAUGCAAGUCGAACGGAAAGGCCCUUCUUUUGUGGGGUGCUCGAGUGGCGAACGUGUGAGUAACACGUGAGUAACCUGCCCUUGACUUUGGUAUAACUUCAGGAAACUGGGGCUAAUACCGGAUAGGAGCUCCUGCUGCAUGGUGGGGGUUGGAAAGUUUCGGCGGUUGGGGAUGGACUCGCGGCUUAUCAGCUUGUUGGUGGGGUAGUGGCUUACCAAGGCUUUGACGGGUAGCCGGCCUGAGAGGGUGACCGGCCACAUUGGGACUGAGAUACGGCCCAGACUCCUACGGGAGGCAGCAGUGGGGAAUAUUGCACAAUGGGCGGAAGCCUGAUGCAGCAACGCCGCGUGCGGGAUGACGGCCUUCGGGUUGUAAACCGCUUUCGCCUGUGACGAAGCGUGAGUGACGGUAAUGGGUAAAGAAGCACCGGCUAACUACGUG